GUGUUAUAUUUUCUCCAAGCUGACUUGUCUGGGUGCAUUGCAUAUGAUAAUCGGCCAAUGGGUUCUAUUAGAAAUGAUAGGGCCUUCCGUGUUGAGAAGGAGAAAUAUGAGAUGACUU
rnacentral:ncRNA from 2 species